CCUACGGGAGGCAGCAGUGGGGAAUUUUGGACAAUGGGCGCAAGCCUGAUCCAGCCAUGCCGCGUGCGGGAAGAAGGCCUUCGGGUUGUAAACCGCUUUUGUCAGGGAAGAAACGCUCUGGGCUAAUACCCUGGGGUAAUGACGGUACCUGAAGAAUAAGCACCGGCUAACUACGUGCCAGCAGCCGCGGUAAUACGUAGGGUGCAAGCGUUAAUCGGAAUUACUGGGCGUAAAGCGUGCGCAGGCGGCUAUGCAAGACAGAUGUGAAAUCCCCGGGCUCAACCUGGGAACUGCAUUUGUGACUGCAUAGCUAGAGUACGGUAGAGGGGGAUGGAAUUCCGCGUGUAGCAGUGAAAUGCGUAGAUAUGCGGAGGAACACCGAUGGCGAAGGCAAUCCCCUGGACCUGUACUGACGCUCAUGCACGAAAGCGUGGGGAGCAAACAGGAUUAGAUACCCUGGUAGUCCACGCCCUAAACGAUGUCAACUGGUUGUUGGGAGGGUUUCUUCUCAGUAACGUAGCUAACGCGUGAAGUUGACCGCCUGGGGAGUACGGCCGCAAGGUUGAAACUUAAGGAAUUGACGG
rnacentral:rRNA from 1 species